UACAGUAUCGGAGAGUGUCAAAAAGAAUGAUAUAAAAUAUUUUAUGAGCUAUUUAGUAAUGUCAUUGCAUUAUAAACGAAGAAGCUGUAAGACGAAUGGUGAUUUUAAACUAAUACGUGUAACCUAAUGCUUAUGAUAUCAACCAUUGGAUGGCAAAACAAACAACGUUUCGUCCCGAAUAGAAUAUUUUUUUUCCACUAGCGAAAGAAAAAACUAUCAGAAAAGAAAUGUAAUGGUAAGGUAAAUAGUGAUGGAACAGACAUGAGAAAAGGAAUUCAAUAUAACGUGCCAAACGAAAGAGUGACCAAGAAUCAGUCCCCUGAUUUUGCAAGAUGAUGUGACUAUUCAAUUCACUGCUUUCUGAGACUGUUGGAGUGAGCAAAGAUCAAUCAUCAGAUUUUAUCGAAGAAACGUUAUAGCCAAUUUAUCAACUGAAGUUUCAUAAAAAUAAGUCGAACUGAGUUCCGAAGAGCGUCUGUGAAAUCAUUGUAGGAAUUCUAAUUUGUGUUAUAUUCAGUAUAAAUAUAUAUUUUCUAGCAUUGAAUAAUAAAUACAUAUAAA